GGGCCCGCACAAGCGGUGGAGCAUGUGGUUUAAUUCGAUGAUACGCGAGGAACCUUACCAGGGCUUAAAUGUAGUGGGACAGGUCUAGAGAUAGACCCUUCUUCGGACUCAUUACAAGGUGCUGCAUGGUUGUCGUCAGCUCGUGCCGUGAGGUGUCAGGUUAAGUCCUAUAACGAGCGCAACCCCUAUCGUUAGUUGCCAGCGGGUAAUGCCGGGGACUCUAGAGAAACUGCCCGUGCAAACGGUGAGGAAGGUGGGGAUGACGUCAAAUCAUCACGGCCCUUACGUCCUGGCUACACACGUGCUACAAUGGCCGGUACAGAGAGCAGCCACUACGCGAGUAGGAG
rnacentral:rRNA from 1 species